ensembl:snRNA U6 U6 spliceosomal RNA
GUACUCACUUGGGCAGCAGAUAUACUAAAAUUACAAUGAUACAGAGAAGAUUAAUAUGACCCUGCACAAGGAUGACACGCAAAUUCGUGAAGUGUUCCAUAUUUUU